rnacentral:tRNA from 1 species
CGGGCUGUAGCUCAGUAGGUUAGAGCGCCUGCUUUGGGAGCAGGAGGCCGCGAGUUCGAGUCCCGCCAGCCCGA